rnacentral:rRNA from 1 species
GUGGGGAAUAUUGGGCAAUGGGCGCAAGCCUGACCCAGCAACGCCGCGUGAAGGAAGAAGGCUUUCGGGUUGUAAACUUCUUUUACCAGGGACGAAACAAAUGACGGUACCUGGUGAAUAAGCCACGGCUAACUACGUGCCAGCAGCCGCGGUAAUACGUAGGUGGCAAGCGUUGUCCGGAUUUACUGGGUGUAAAGGGCGUGUAGGCGGGACUGCAAGUCAGAUGUGAAAUUUCGGGGCUCAACCCCGAAACUGCAUUUGAAACUGUGGUUCUUGAGUAUCGGAGAGGCAGGCGGAAUUCCUAGUGUAGCGGUGAAAUGCGUAGAUAUUAGGAGGAACACCAGUGGCGAAGGCGGCCUGCUGGACGACAACUGACGCUGAGGCGCGAAAGCGUGGGGAGCAAACAGGAUUAGAAACCCUAGUAGUCC